UAGGGGAUGCUUUUCAUCCUAGACGAUGCUUAUCAUCUAGACGAUAAGCAUCGCCAUCUACUAGGGGAAAAAGUGACGGCGCAGCUAACGAAUAAGCAUCAUCUAGAUGUCUACCGACCAACCUGGUUUGGCUGUAGAAUUUUCGUUGGCUAGUUUCCAUAAGCAUAGUCCAUAUUGAUAUUCCGAGCACGUUCCAAGUUCUAAACUUCGUAUUCACUGACUCAGUAUUAGCAAAAGUAUUCAACGAUGUAAUCGAUUCCCAAAUUAUAUUUGUGCAAGAAGCAGUCCAGGAACUAGGUGCACUAGGUCCUCCAAACUUCUAGUAGGACAAGAAGCAGUCGUGCUGGAUUUCAAAUUUUCACUAUGAGUGCUAUGAGAAAUGCUGACUCAAAUACAUCAACAAGACCAACACUGCUGUAGUUCUUCACCUCUCAACAAAGUGUCACUGCGGGACUGUUGACAGAAACUUACACUUUCAUGCCGAAGUCGAUGACCUCGAAGCGCUUCACUCACCCACCACAUUCUAAAUCGUGUUUCCGUAUUCUGAAUGCAGUUCUUGUUCGUGUUUCUGUGGAUCAAGUAAUCGCAUUUUUUUUACUUCUUGGGUAGACGUAGUUAUCGAUUUCUAUCUGGGUAUUGAACUUAUGGUGAUCCAAUUCAUCCCAAAUGGUUCCGGCCAUUCAAUUUCCGCAAUACAGAAGAAUUCCUUGCUCUUUUAAAACAGAACCGAGAAUCCAGGAAUAUUUUAUCGCUUCCAUAAUUAAAAUAUUUAUGGUC